UCAAUAAACACUGGUGUAGAAGCAU
rnacentral:piRNA from 1 species